rnacentral:rRNA from 1 species
CAUGCAGGCGGUCGGACGCGUUUCCAGUGACAGCGGGUGGCUUACCUACCCGAGUAUUGGAAAGACGGUUUGACUUGAGGGCUCGAGAGGGACACGGAAUUCCGGGUGGAGUGGUGAAAUGCGUAGAGAUCCGGAGGAACAUCGAAGGCGAAGGCAGUGUCCUGGCGAGUGACUGACGCUGAGGUGCGAAAGCCAGGGGAGCGAACGGGAUUAGAUACCCCGGUAGUCCUGGCCGUAAACGAUGACCACCAGGUGUGGGAGGUAUCGACCCCUUCUGUGCCGGAGGAAACCCACUAAGUGGUCCGCCUGGGGAGUACGGUCGCAAGAUUAAA